GAGCCAACUGAUGCCUUCACUGUGUUUGAUAGUUAGCAGAGUCCCUUGGGUGCGGGUCACCAGCACUCAGAGGCUAGGCCAGGGCUCUGCUUCAGCGAGGGCACAGCUGCAGGAAAGCUGUACGAGGCUAUGAGCUGGAUCUCAACCUUUGGGAGAUAGAAAGGCAGAGGCUGCAGUCAAACCCCUAUCUAAAGGGUGGGGCUGUGACCUCCGUGAACCUGAGUAAGCUAGAGGGUGGCAUGGCUUAUAACAUGGGCAACUGCCACUAUAAGCGCCAGCUCAGACUUUGCUGUGGCACCAGAUGUGGACCUGAAAGCUUUUGAGCAGCAGCUGCAGGGCUGGUGCCAGACAGCUGGAGACAGGGUCACAUUUUCGAGUUUGCUCAGAAGCGGAUGCAGCUCUGAGUGACACCUACUAAUGACUCAGACCUCUGGUGGGCAGCUUUUAGCCAGGUCUGCAAGGGCAUGAACCUCACACUCUGGCUGCCACUGACAGCUGUUUCUUCUGUGCCGUAGGGCUUCUCACCCAUGAGCCACACACCUGUGCUGCUGCAUGACCACGACGAGUGGCUACAUGAGGCUGCGUUCCUCCUGGGUUGACACAUAUUCACACCUGCUGCCUGCCCUGGCCAGCAUGCCCACACUGCCUGGCGAGAGCG
rnacentral:lncRNA from 1 species